rnacentral:rRNA from 1 species
AGAGUUUGAUCCUGGCUCAGGACGAACGCUGGCGGCGUGCCUAACACAUGCAAGUCGAGCGAUGAAAUCCUUCGGGAUGGAUUAGCGGCGGACGGGUGAGUAACACGUGGGUAACCUGCCUCAAAGAGGGGAAUAGCCUUCCGAAAGGAAGAUUAAUACCGCAUAAUAUGUUUUGGUCGCAUGACUAGAACAUCAAAGGAGCAAUCCGCUUUGAGAUGGACCCGCGGCGCAUUAGCUAGUUGGUGAGGUAACGGCUCACCAAGGCGACGAUGCGUAGCCGACCUGAGAGGGUGAUCGGCCACAUUGGAACUGAGACACGGUCCAGACUCCUACGGGAGGCAGCAGUGGGGAAUAUUGCGCAAUGGGGGAAACCCUGACGCAGCAACGCCGCGUGAAUGAUGAAGGCCUUCGGGUUGUAAAGUUCUGUCUUCUGGGACGAUAAUGACGUACCAGAGAG